rnacentral:tRNA from 1 species
AGCUUAAGACGUAAGUAGGUGUCCCUGCUACCA